GACUAUUUGGGGGUGAUGUAAGGAUAUGUACAAAGUGAUUUAGCGGCUGCAAAACAUCCAAAUUCAGUGGGAUUUUAGCACCGUAUGUAAAGAAUGUUUUUCUCCUGCCGUUCUGCACUAUCAAAUUUGCACUUUGCCAUCAUUAAUCCAUCAUUAAUCCUAGACCCAAUAGCUGAAUUUCACCUUUUCAUCACCUGGUUGACUGUCCUCCUGGUAAAACCGACAGCAUUGACUUUCUCUACUAUAGAGGACCAUAUUGCCUCUUUGAUAGCAUUACUGAUGUUGGCUGAGACUUUUCAAUAAGGACUGUCAGCUCUUCCUCAGAAAAUGUUUCUUUUCUUUUCCUUGCGCCAAGAGGACUUUGCUGCCAUUCCUCUGACAUAUUUUUUUGUUUGGUUUGAUUUUUGUGCUCCACAAAUCUCAUACAGUGCCUACUGCUCUCUACUGCAAACUCACCUCACCUCUGGGCUGAACGUCAAGGGAGGCAGGGACAUCAAAGCAUAUCGGGGGGGUGCCCAUAUACCAGCACAGGCAGAGCCGAGUGAGACAAAAGCUGCUGUGUGAAUGUGCUGCUGUGAGAGUGCAAGACUGUUGUUUUCGGUAUGGACCAGGCUAACGGCCCGGGAAUAAUCGUCCUAAUAAACGUGGAUUCGAGUACCUGCAAAUUGUGUGCGUCUCCAGCUUUCAUUUUCCAACAUACGCUACAAUAUUAAUUUGGCUUGUGGGCAUUGCAAAUCAUUUUGGGAACAACACAAAGAAUGCGGUCUCCUAAUUAUAGACCCCGACAAUCGCAUUAUAACUGUGUAGCACUGUGUAUUGUAUUCUACUAAUCAAGAGCAUUGACACUGACCCCCAGAAAAGGCUUUUGCAAAAAAAAAAAAAAAAAAGAAAAA